rnacentral:lncRNA from 1 species
NNNNNNNNNNCGGCCCUGUCCCUGCCUCCGGUGCCAUCCCCACUGCCCUGGGGGUGCCGAUGCCAUCCCUGCUUCCAGGUGCCCACCCCGGGGAAGCUGCAUGUCCACACUCCCAUUUUUCCUGGCGCCGGGAUCAGCCCCCGGCAUUCCCGGGGGCCGGCGGUGCCCGGGUCCCUGCCAGGCUGCCGUUCCCGCAGGUGACAGCGCGGGCAUGGCCUGUGUGUUUAUUUUUAGCGUAACCAGGAUGACACUGCUCAGCUUAAAGAGAAAUCCUGGGAGUUUCUGGCUGAUGCCGGGAACAGACCCGAGCUGGGCUGGCUGUGCCUGUACCUGGCAGUAAAUGCUCCUGGUUUGCACGAGCUCGGACACCGACACACCUGGUCACGUGUCCCUGCUAAUCCGCUUCCCAAUGGAAAGUUUUAGGGAUGCUGUUUCCCUCCUCCCCAGCGGAGUGGGAGCAGGGGCUGCCGGUGCUCAGCACCACACCUGGAUUUCAUCCUGCUUUCCCCGUUGUUCCUCCCCCUGCACACGGGAUCACACCUGUGAGACUGGGCGUGGGCCGGGUGGUUGUUUGAAAUGCAGAAUUCCCGGGAAUAGCCCAGGUAGCCACACCUUGAGGGGCUCGUCCUGCUGCAGGUUGUGUCUGGAGAGGGCUGGUCCAAAAUUCCCGGGAGGUGAGUGGGAUGGCAUCCUGCCUGCUCGGGUGGGCAGCGUGGGCCUGCAGAGGGUCACUUCCCAGGAAUCACCUCCAGCACUGCCUGCCCUGCUCGGGAGCUGCUACAGGAACCCUCCUGGAAACUCCAGGGAAUCCUUGGCAGCAGCAGCUGCGGUCUGGGGAGUUGGGCUUUUCCACAUCAGGAACCCUCAAACCUCGUCCAGAAGCGUUCAGUGGCUCCUCCCUGUCCUGCUGGAAGGUGACAUUCACACAGACCUGCCCACCCACCCGGCGCUCGGUGUUCCCGCCUGGAUCAGGAUUCCCACCCUUGGAGCAGAACAAAGUCGGGAGGGACCUGCAGGACCCGCACCCCACGUUCAGUGGGCAGUGCCAGCCCUGCCACAGGCAGUCCGUGCUAUCCAGGAGGAUUUCCAGGAGGAUGUUCCCGGAGUUGCUGCUGCCAGGAGCCAAGUCCAUGUCGGAGCGCCGGUUCGGAGCCCCCGACGCUCCCCAGGGAUCAGAGGUUCUGUAAUGGCAUCAAAUAUUGCUGCAGCAGCAUUACACAGCAGAGCCCGAGCCCUGAGCAGAACAGCAUUCCCAGGGGCUGCUCGGAGCAUCCCGGAUCCAGGGGGCAGGUGUGGUUGGAGCAUCUGCUCCCAGCACAAUGCUGUAAUCCAGAGAAUCCAUGUUCCAUCCUGGUCACCGUCCUGCCAAGGGCUUCCCAGAGCCUAGGGGUGACUGGUUGGUGCCAGCUGUGCCUGGGGAUGGACAGAUGGACAGGGACAGCCAGCAUG